rnacentral:rRNA from 1 species
UACGUAGGGGGCAAGCGUUGUCCGGAUUUAUUGGGCGUAAAGAGCGUGUAGGCGGCCUGACAGGUCUGCUGUGAAAACUCGAGGCUCAACCUCGAGAUGGCGGCGGAAACCGUCUGGCUAGAGUCCGGAAGAGGAGAGUGGAAUUCCUGGUGUAGCGGUGAAAUGCGCAGAUAUCAGGAAGAACACCUAUGGCGAAGGCAGCUCUCUGGGACGGUACUGACGCUGAGGCACGAAAGCGUGGGGAGCAAACAGG